rnacentral:lncRNA from 10 species
UCUGUGGGCUACUGGGGCUGCAUAAUUCCAACCUCUCCUUCUGUGUUUACAAGCCUUCUCUUCUGUGUGUUUAAUCUCCCUCUGCCUUUCUUUUAUAAGGACACUUGUCAUUGGAUUUAGGGCCCACUCAGAUUAUCCAGGAAAAUCUUUUCUCAAGAUCCUUAAUUUAACAUCUGCAAAGACCCUUUUGGCAAAUUAGGUGAUAUUCACCGAGGCUGUAGGCUGAAUUUUUCUCCUCCUUCAAAUUCAUACGUUGAUGCCCUAAGCCCCAGUGCGAUGGUGUUUGGAUCUGGGGUCUUUGGGAAGUACUUAGGUUUAGAUGAGAUUAUGAGGUGGGCCCUUCAUUAUAGGAUUAGUGCCCCUAUAAAAAGAGAUACCAGAGCUUGCUCUCCCUUUCUCUGUCUCUGUCUGCCAUGUGAGGACACAUCUAGAAGGCAGCUGUCUGCAAGCCAGGAAGAGUGUCCUUUCCAGGAACUGAAUCUGCUGGCAUCUGCUUUUGGAAUUUCCAGCCUCCCAAACUGUGAAAAAAUAAAUUUCUUUUGUUUAAGCCAUCCAGUGAAUGGCAUUUUGUUAUGUCAUCACUAGAUGACUAAGUCAAUAGUUUGCAGCGAUUAGGAAUAUCUUUUUGGGGACCACUAUUCAACCCAUUACAACUGGGUAUCAUUUGAAGCUUUUUGGUUAUAUUUUCAUUUUCACAGCCCAGGAUUAAAAGAGCCCUCGUCAGAUGUGUAUUUUGGAGAGGAUUACCAGUUUUCUAUGCAGUGGCUAUAUCUGCUGCCAAAGACUUUGCUGGCUGGGAAAACACUGAUUUCUUCAAGGGAAACGUCUUCUUUAUUGCAGUGGAAACAAAAAAAAGAAAGAAAUACAGUAGACAAGCCAAAAUAAUUUGCAUAAAACACAACGGAAAGUGGCUGAGAAGAGGACAAUUUAGGAAAAUGAUCUCUCCAGGAAUGCUGCCAAGAUGCAGGUGCCUACAGGGUAAGUCGGUGCUCUUGAUCAUGAAGCUGCAUACUUACCUGGACCAGUUUGCAGGAGAAGCUGAAAGAGGAGAUCUGGCAGGAGCUAGAGGAGUUUGGGGCCUGACUGCUACUCCAACAACAAGAUAAACCAGCAAUUCAGCAACAACAUGCAUAAGCUGCAAUAGAUCCUGAACUCACACUCACCUUUCUAGGACAAACAGGGUGUUGCUCCCCUGUCAUUUAAAAAAUCAUUUACAAAUUUUAUUCGUGGCCAAUUCUCACUUGGAAAGAUAUAUGGAAGACAAAUGUGGCAAAGGGAGUUUCAGUUAAGCCAAAUUGAAACAAGAGAAAGCAACAUUUCAUUUAAUUUUGCAACUUUAAUGUAAUUGUGCUCUAAAUUGUGGACUUUGGAUUAAUAGCAAAAUUCCAAGUUGUGGAAUAUUAUCUUCUGGUUUUGAAUACAUCCUAGCACUUUAUCAUAUUCUAUAUACUAACAUUAUAUAGUGCUUAUUAUAGAGAGUGGGUUUAGUAGUCCCUAAUAUUCAUGUCUUUAUAAAAGCUGAAUUUGUAAUAUUCUUUCAAGUAUCAUUGACAAUUUCCUGUACCAAGCAAAAUGAUAUCAUGAUAAUUAAAAUUAAAAUUCUGACAUCUGGAACAGGAAGCUCAGUUAAGCAAAAUUUAUUCGGAAAAAAGAUGUCUUACCAGGGCUGUGUAUUAGACUUUAUUUUAGGUUAAGAGAAAAAUAUGAUUUAUAGGUUUCCUGAGACUAAAUCGUUAACACAAUAUUACAUACUAUAAGCAGAUAAGUUCCAAGCACAAUCCUUGGCAUAGUUUAAGGAGUCUAACAAAGAAAGAAGGAAUGGAAUUAAUGGUGAUGUUGAUGAAGAGGGAGGUUGUGAUGAUGGUGAUGUGAGAACACAACGAGCUGUAAUAAAUAAAGAAAAAUCAUCCACUACUGUUUUUAAGGCAUAAAUACACAGUAGGUCUUAUAGAAAACUGGAAAAGUCACCUAUUAAUCGGCAACUCUAAUGAUCAAUUUAUCUUGUAACCUUAAGGUGUGAUCUGUUCUUCAAAUUUAUCUUACUCUCUCCACUCGUGCUCCUUUGUGAGUUAUCAUACCCUUUCAUUAGCUCACCUAUCAAAUGUCAGUGACCUCUGUUCGAUUAAGGACUAGAAUAGAAUAGAAUAGAAUAGAAUAGAACAGAACAGAACAGAACAGAACAGAACAGAACAGAACAGAACAGAACAGAACAGAACAGAACAAUUUGGCUUUCAGGCUUACAUGGCAAAAAGCAUACCAUCUUUGGGUAGAAAGAAAUACCUUUAUUCAGCAAAGACCUAUAAACAUAGCAGACUUUUUGGUGUUGCCGACUGAGCAGUAUAGACCUGUAUCUGUUUUAGAUGAUUAUGUUACUCUUGCCCAUAAUGGUCCAAAAUAGGAACUUUUUUUAAAAAAGAUGUUGAGAGAGGCGAGGGAUUUGCAGGAUGCGCCACAGAGCCGUUUUGUUUUGAAAGUGUAAAAGAAGUAUAAUACAUAAUUUCUGAUUAGUUUUUUUAAAACUACAAAAUGUUGUUUUUUCCACUAUUCUUCUGAGGGAUGUUCACCAAUAUUCUGGUUUUCCUCUGGACACAUGGUUGAAUUGCACUUCCUCACUCCCCUCCCCAUAGCCUACCAUGCUUGCAGUUAGUUAGGCACAACCAAUGACCUGCUGUAGCCAACGAAAUGAGAGCAGAAGUGAAGUGUUCACUUAUGUUUGUCCUACUUCUUGCAAUAAGUAAUUUGAGGCAGUUGUGACCUUGGCCAUGGAUAUGGUGGUACAUCAUUUGCACUGUUAAGAUUAUGACAAAAACAUUGCACAUAUUCAAUUUAUUUCAUAUUAAAAACAAAUAAAAUAUUUUGAACUCACCAUAAAAUUGCUUGAUUAAAACAUGGCUACUAUGUACAUUCUAAAUAUACUUCUCUUUAUUGGAAAAAUAUUAAUUAAAAUAAUUAUUACUUUAACAGAAACUCUAAGUGAUUAGUGCUUCAUAAUGAUUGCCCACAGAUUUAGAAUACUUAUUAAUUCUAUAAUAAUGUAGUCUUAAGAAUUAUAUGUGUUUAACUUUUUCAGGCUAAAAUAAUGUGUUACGUAUAAAGAUUUAAUUGUAGGCACAUGACUCUGAACUCCCUUUUCCCAAGUGUAGAGAUUGUUGUGACAAGUCCUGAAAUGGAGCCUCCAUCAGCCUGAGUGACUACAAUGAGCUGAAAUCAGUGCUGCUCCAUUUGGACAUUCAAGAUGAGUGAGAUAAAAAAAAAAAAUUGUUUUGUGUUAAGCCACUGAGAAUAGGGUGGUGUUUGUUACUGCAGCCUGACAUAGCCCACCCUGACAAGUACAGAUGGCGGCCUGUAGUGCUUACAUACCAAAAAAGAAUAAUCUUAGAAUGCACAGUGUAAAGCCACUCAGUCACUUGUCAUAAAAUUUAUACGAUGAGAAAGAGGCCACACAGAUCCGCAGAUGGUGGACCAAACUCCUUGGUUGGUUGGUAUUGGGAGAACAAGUGUUAGGCCUGGGGAGAAUGUGUGGGUAUCCAUCUGUCUUUGGCCAAGUGAACACGCUAGUGUUCCAGGUCUUUAGGCAAAAGCAGAAAAGAGAUGACAGCUUUCAGCUCAACAGAUAACUUAAGAUGCCAAACUUUUCUGCUGUGUGCCUUAUUUUUUUGAAGAAGCCCAGAGAUCCCCAGUUCAACAAGUAACUAUAUAUAAUAAGCAUGAACUUAUGUUUGCCC